rnacentral:rRNA from 1 species
UACAGAGGGGGCAAGCGUUAUUCGGAAUUAUUGGGCGUAAAGGGCGCGUAGGCGGCCUGGCAAGUGGAAGGUGAAAUCCCUCGGCUUAACCGAGGAACUGCCCUCCAAACUGCUUGGCUUGAGACCAGGAGAGGUGAGUGGAAUUCCUGGUGUAGCGGUGAGAUGCGUAGAUAUCAGGAGGAACACCGGUGGUGUAGACGGCUCACUGGACCGUAACUGACGCUGAGACACGAAAGCGUGGGUAGCAAACAGG